UCAGAAUCUGGAUCAGAUGGCGAAUCUGAAAGUUCUGGUUCAUCCGAUUCAGAUUCCAGCAGUUCCGAAUCGGAGUCAGAUUCACCAAGUUCUGAUGAGGAUGAAAGACGUCGUAGGAAGCGACACAUGAGUAGUGAAAGGGAUGAAAGAGACAAGAAGCGACACAGGAGCAGUGAAAGGGAUGAAAGACACAGGAAGCGACACAGGAGUAGUGAAAGGGAUGAAAGACACAGGAAGCGUUAAAGAAGCCUUCUGCUGCAGUGUCAGCUGCUCUUGAUGAUGUCUUUUAAUGCUCUUGGCUGU
rnacentral:lncRNA from 1 species